rnacentral:pre_miRNA from 1 species
AGCCUCUCAUUUGGCCUGCCUAGCUGACUUUAAAUUAAUAUUGCUAGCUGCCUUGUGAAGGGCUUA